rnacentral:lncRNA from 1 species
GAUAAAUUUCCCCACGCACAAAAUGGUUUUUGAGAGCACUUAAAGUUUACUUCAGCAUCAGUCCAAUAGCACAUUUAGUCAGUGGGGUUGUCCGUACCUCCACAGCAGAAUCCCUGCCCUAGAGUUACCCCUUUGUACACAGUUGGAAGGCUUUAGUAGACAUUAACAUCCUAGAGAACAGUCAUUGUUAUAAUAAAAAUCAGAAGUCAGGUAAAAGUUAUCAGGAGUCAGAAGAAAAUAAAACAGAUUUGAGUCAUCUUUGAUUUUUAAAGAUGAGAGCUUAUGUAACUGUUGGAACAAGUGUUUCUCUAAUAGUUGAAACACUAAUCAAAAUUUGAGGUAAAUGAUUAAGAAGAUAGGUGAAUGUUACUGUCUAGAGCCAUAAAAAAGACAAAACCAUGCCAUGCUGAAAACUGAAUCACGAUAGAACCCCUGAUGGAUAACAUCUUACUUGUCUGAUCCCAACCACAGACAAUGUAUUGCUCUCUUCUCUGGGAACCUCAGUAUUAACAAUUUCCUUUAUUUCUCACAAAUUCUAGGAUUCAUGUAAGGAAAAGCUUUAUGAGUAGU